rnacentral:antisense_RNA from 1 species
CUAAACAAGGCGAUAUAAUUAAAUAGCUACUUCUUAAGAUUUUCCUCUCUCCUUUAAAAAUGAAAGACUUGUAAAUAUAGACUGCCUAAAUGCUUCAUCAGUACGAACUGGAGUCAUCUUACACAACUUCUUCAAGUAAUAAUUAUGUGGAAAAAGUGUGCUAAUUUCAGUAAAAAGACAUCCUGCUGUUGUAAACUAGAAGGAAAGAUGUUCCAGUGUUAAUCUCCAAGUGUAGCACCGUUAAGCGGCAGGUAUAAGAAAUGUUCUGUUUUUUGGAAACAUUUGGUCUGUUCUCAUUUGCUUGUGCUAUGACAAGCAAGGUCAGGAGGAAAGGCAGAUCUAUUAACACUUCGUUUAACCAAGGCAGACCUUAGUACAAUGGACAGCCUUAUAGAAGUCUUCUAAGUCAUUAAUGAAAAUGUCAACUGACAUUCCCAAGGAGCCCACUACAAAGGCUGAUUGGUUUAUUAUAGCCUUGGCCCUACUGAAGGCUUGCGGCAGACACCAAGCCUCCUUCUGAAACUAUGUGAGAGUAUAACACAACAGAAAAAAAAGACUAAACACUACCUACGCUCAAUGUUCCACACCUCUUAAGCCAGUAAUCCUGUAUCUGGUGUCUGGCAGCAAAGAAAAUAAAAUAUACCUCAUCUGUGCUCCAUUUGGAGACUUUACUGGCAGGGAUUCCAGCGACAGUUGGAAGAAGUUUGCUUUGCUGCUCCCAGCGCAAGGGCAGACAUGGAAUUGGGGACUUAA